rnacentral:lncRNA from 1 species
AGCCCUGCAGGUGAUGCCAAUGGUGCCAAGCAGGAGCCCGCCGAGUUUCUAAAGCUCAGUUCAGUUUAACGUUGGCCGGGACGGGAGUGUUUCCCGGAGCAGUUCUGUCUACAAGAACAGCGUUAAGAAAUUUGAAAUCAUCUUUGCCAUCAGGCCAGUCAGGAAAAAACAAAUGCAAGACUCGCCAAGCAGGAUCAUCAGAACUCGGUCCUCUGCCUUCAGUGAAUCUUAAGCCCCAGCAGCACAGCUUCGUUACUGCCACCGAGCAGGCAUUCAGUAAUGUCAUCUAGGACCCGGUUUCCUUCGGUCUGGACGCUCUGUCGUCCCCCAGGGAAGUCUCUUGGGAAAGCCCCCUUUCAUCACGUCCCGUACGUUUUGUUGACCACACUGGAUCAUCGUCUAUCGCUUGCUGAAGACAAGGGCAGGUAUUCUCACCUCUGGUUCUGACCCUGGCGCUGGGGGGCGCCUGCUCUGGCUCC